UGCCUCCGCUCUUUCAUCAUAAACUACCUUAAGGUUUGUAUUCUUUUUUCUGUUCCCAUUCUAACAAACACAGUGACAGUAACUCAGUACAGCGAGAAUUCUUUGGGGAAAGGGGAAGAAAUGGAUAUUCUGAAAUAUUUGAGGUAAAGAUGAAGCAUGUGUAGUCUGAACAUCUGCUUUACCUCCCAUUUGUGAAUUCAUCUGAUGUAUCGGUCAAGCAGAGGCAUACACCUAGUAAGACACUAUUCUCUCGCUACCCUCCUCUGUACUAUCUAUUGGCAUAGUUUUAAAAGUGUCAGGGAAGUUUGUUUUCUUCCUUCAACUCCAAGUCUUGUCAUCAUUUUGGACAACUUCACUGUCUAGGUAUAUGACUUAUUCAACACCUUCCCAAAUCCUGGACCUAUCAUCUCCAUAAUCUUCAGUACUAUUCAAAACUCAGCCACACAACUUCCAUGACGAAACCAUGAAUUUUUUUCCCAUCACAUUAGACAACUAUCCCUAACAUAAUACUCGGUCACCCCACUCUGACCACCAUCUCCCAACUCUCUAGCUUUCUCAAUUAUACUCUCUCAUCUGUUUUUGAGUUUUACACGGACACCCAGUCACUUGAUCCUUCAUUUCAAUGGUUCUCAACCUUGGUUACUGUGGUAACUGUGAGUACUGCUUAGCAGUUAUUCACUCUCACUGUGGGACUGUGAAUCAUCCUUGUUGAUUAUGGAAGUGAGGCUAUUUGGUCAAUGAAAUAUUAACAUCUUUUGAUGCAAGCAAAAGUCUUAAAUGUGCUUUUGCAAUGUGGCUCACUUGUUAUACUCCGGAGACAUGCCACCAGAACAUACUCCAGGUAGCAGCUGCUCCUUUGGACUGGGCCCAAAAUAUAUGUGGCACAGACGGGAACCCAAGUUUCUUCAGGUGCCAAAUCCAAACAGCACACAGACCAAAG
rnacentral:lncRNA from 1 species